UACGUAGGGGGCAAGCGUUGUCCGGAUUCAUUGGGCGUAAAGAGCGUGUAGGCGGCCAGGUAGGUCGGUUGUGAAAACUGGAGGCUCAACCUUCAGACGUCGACCGAAACCAUCUGGCUAGAGUCCGGGAGAGGAGAGUGGAAUUCCUGGUGUAGCGGUGAAAUGCGUAGAGAUCAGGAAGAACACCGGUGGCGAAGGCGCUCUGCUGGACCUUAACUGACACUGAGGGACGAAAGCUAGGGGAGCGAAUGGG
rnacentral:rRNA from 1 species